AGGGUUCGAUUCUGGCUCAGAACGAACGCUGGCGGCGUGCUUAACACAUGCAAGUUGAACGGAGUCAUUUGAAGUAGCAAUACGGAGAGAUGACUUAGUGGCGGACGGGUGAGUAACACGUAGGUAACCAACCCUGAAGCGGGGGACAACCCAGGGGAAACUUGGGCUAAUACCGCAUAAGACCACGGACUGGAAUGUUUGUGGUAAAAAGUAGCAAUACACUUCAGGCUGGGCCUGCGGCCUAUCAGGUAGUUGGUAAGGUAAUGGCUUACCAAGCCUAAGACGGGUAGCCGGACUGAGAGGUUGAACGGCCACACUGGAACUGAGACACGGUCCAGACUCCUACGGGAGGCAGCAGUGGGGAAUUUUGCACAAUGGGCGAAAGCCUGAUGCAGCGACGCCGCGUGGAGGAUGAAGGUUUUCGGAUUGUAAACUCCUUUUGCAGGGGAAGAUAAUGACGGUACCCUGCGAAUAAGCCACGGCUAACUCUGUGCCAGCAGCCGC
rnacentral:rRNA from 1 species